rnacentral:rRNA from 1 species
UACGGAGGAUCCAAGCGUUAUCCGGAUUUAUUGGGUUUAAAGGGUGCGUAGGCGGAUUGAUAAGUUAGAGGUGAAAUGUCCGAGCUCAACUCGGGAACUGCCUCUAAUACUGUUGAUCUAGAGAGUAGAUGCGGUAGGCGGAAUGUAUGGUGUAGCGGUGAAAUGCUUAGAUAUCAUGAAGAACUCCGAUCGCGAAGGCAACAUACCGGCGCCCUACUGACGCUGAGGCACGAAAGUGCGGGUAUCGAACAGG